UGGGGAAUUUUGGACAAUGGGCGAAAGCCUGAUCCAGCAAUGCCGCGUGUGUGAAGAAGGCCUUCGGGUUGUAAAGCACUUUUGUCCGGAAAGAAAUCCUUGGCUCUAAUACAGUCGGGGGAUGACGGUACCGGAAGAAUAAGACCGCGUAACUACGUGCCAGCAGCCGCGGUAAUACGUAGGGUGCAAGCGUUAAUCGGAAUUACUGGGCGUAAAGCGUGCGCAGGCGGUUUGCUAAGACCGAUGUGAAAUCCCCGGGCUCAACCUGGGAACUGCAUUGGUGACUGGCAGGCUAGAGUAUGGCAGAGGGGGGUAGAAUUCCACGUGUAGCAGUGAAAUGCGUAGAGAUGUGGAGGAAUACCGAUGGCGAAGGCAGCCCCCUGGGCCAAUACUGACGCUCAUGCACGAAAGCGUGGGGAGCAAACAGGAUUAGAUACCCUGGGUAGUCCACGCCCCUAAAACGAUGUCAACUAGUUGUUGGGGAUUCAUUUCCUUAGUAACGUAGCUAACGCGUGAAGUUGACCGCCUGGGGAGUACGGUCGCAAGAUUAAAACUUAAAUGAAUUGACGGGGUCAUAGCUGUUUCCU
rnacentral:rRNA from 1 species